GUUAUAUGGUCAAGUGAAGAAGCGCAUACGGUGGAUGCCUUGGCAGUCAGAGGCGAUAGAAGAGUGGUAGCCUGCGAAAAGCUUCGGGGAGUCGGCAAACAGACUUUGAUCCGGAGAUGUCUGAAUGGGGGAACCCAGCCAUCACAAGAUGGUUAUCUUGUACUGAAUACAUAGGUGCAAGAGGCGAACCAGGGGAACUGAAACAUCUAAGUACCCUGAGGAAAAGAAAUCAACCGAGAUUCCCUUAGUAGUGGCGAGCGAACGGGGACUAGCCCUUAAGUGGCUUUGAGAUUAGCGGAACGCUCUGGAAAGUGCGGCCAUAGUGGGUGAUAGCCCUGUACGCGAAAGUCUCUUAGUCAUGAAAUCGAGUAGGACGGAGCACGAGAAACUUUGUCUGAAUAUGGGGGGACCAUCCUCCAAGGCUAAAUACUACUGACUGACCGAUAGUGAACUAGUACCGUGAGGGAAAGGCAGAAAAGAACCCCGGAGAGGGGAGUGAAAUAGAUCCUGAAACCGUAUGCGUACAAGCAGUGGGAGCAGACUUUGUUCUGUGACUGCGUACCUUUUGUAUAAUGGGUCAGCGACUUAUUUUCAGUGGCGAGCUUAACCGAAUAGGGGAGGCGUAGCGAAAGCGAGUCUUAAUAGGGCGUCUAGUCGCUGGGAAUAGAACCGAAACCGGGCGAUCUAUCCAAUGGGCAGGUUGAAGGUUAGGUAACACUGACUG
rnacentral:rRNA from 1 species